UUUGGGAUGAUCUAUUGACAGAAAUGCAAUAUAAUAUACAUAACUGUCUUCAGAUGUGUAUAAAGAUCUUACACAUUAUGAAGCGUUAUGUUUUUAAUUAAUGAGCUUUUUCUAUCUACAUAAUUAUAGUUCGCCAUGUUGUGUCAGCCGUCGUAGUGCUUCGAAAGGGAGGCGGAGGAGUUAGCCGCUAUAUUUCACUGACCGCUGUCAAUGUCUCUUACAGAUACAAGCUUCUGUCGUUUCUGGAAAUUUCCAGCAGCUAUGAGCCAGAGAGACUCGUCAGCGAUUUCCCGUUUGACGGUCUGCUGGAGGAGAGAGCUCUGCUCUUGGGUCGGAUGGGCAAACACGAGCAGGCUCUCUUCAUCUACGUUCACGUUCUGAAAGACACACACAUGGCUGAAGAGCCAUAAACCUGCUGCCAGCCAACACACAGAUCAGAGAGAUCCAGGUGUUUCUGGAGAACGUGUUAGAGGAGAAAGCUCGACGGAAGCGCUUUGAUCAGAUCCUGAAGAGUCUCCUGCAGGCCGAGUUUCUGCGAGUAUGUUCUACUGAUUUUUAUAUAUACAACCAUAAAGUGUAACAUAUUUGUAAAUUGAUGUAAAGUUGCACAGAAAUAUCAUUCAUCGAAACUGAAUCCAGACCUGUCUGUAUAGUCGCCAGAAGUGUUUUCUAUAGACUGACAAAGAUUUUCUCUACUUUUAGUUUUUGACCACCAAAACCCAGCUAGUGAUGUUUAUAUCUGACCUAAUAAUUCUCUAAUAAAACAAACGUUUGUUUCUAACUAUAUGAAGACACACAGUUUAAUCUUAUAUAAAUUGUGAAACUCCGGGGGUUUGUAAGCACCCUGUGCUUUCACAUUACUGUUAUUUUACGCUGGGCUUGUAGGCGCUGCUCCACUUCGCUCUGUAACUUUCAGAUGAAAUCAGACCCUAAACAACUCUUAAAGGUGCAGUUCUUAAUUAACAGCGGCCACUAGCGUUGUAUUAUUGAUUUGCCACGAAUCGCUCAGUCCAAACACGACGGUGGCCACCACAGUACAAAAAGAUGUCGUUCUCAUGUUGACGCAGGGAAGAGAUUUUGCGGGCAUUAGAAAGACUGUAGAAAGAGCGAUGACUUAUGUAUUACAUAAAAUAAAGGUUUGUGGAUUUUAAGUUGAAAAAGAAGGAUAAAAGUCAGGCAGGAGCUAGGACCUGUGUUCAUAUUAUAAAGACUUUACAGCAGAGACACGUUAGGAUUAAGUCUUUUAGCAGAUAUGUACCCACAGAUAUCUAUAGAGAUACUUUCCAGCAGAGAGACGUUAGAGAGAAAGAUCGUCUAAAAAUCACCCCCGAGGAGGUUGCUUUGAUUCGGAUCAGUAUGUGAGUAACAUGCUAACAUACCAAGAUAUGUUGUUGUUGUAAUAGCUGUGUGACGGAGCAGUUUUGAGCGUCAUUGUUUAUCUGGAACCGCUUUAAUAUUGUACUCGUCCAGAUACUGGAGAGAGAGAGAGAGAGAGAGAGAGAGAGAGAGAGAGAGAGAGAGAGAGAGAGAGAGAGAGAGAGAAACUGGAGAGCGAGCGAGAGUGCGUUUUAUUCUUUUACUCAAUGAUGAAUUAACUUUCAGUUAAUCCGCGGGUCACAUGCGUUCCGCACCGGAGAGCACGAUCCGUACGGAUCACGGAUCAUCCCGCGAUCCGUUUCACCACGAUACCGCAGCGGAGAGGAAGAGGAAACGCGCGUUGUAGAGUUGUUUGUCCGUUUAGGGCUGCUGUACAAAACAUUGCGGCGAAUUCAAUGUAUGUAGGGCCGCUCUGUAUGUAGAUAUAAAUAUCUUAUUCAAAGGUAUUACAAACAUAACGGUUCAUUACGUAAGGUCUUUAUACACCUCUGAAGAAAUAGUUUUGUAUAUUAUAUUGUAUUUCUGUCUGUCAAUAGAUCCUCCUAAAAAUGCCGUAUUGUUCCUUUAAUGUGUCUCCGCUGCAAAAAGAGUCAGCACACACACACAGCACGGCCAUCUGAUGGAGGAAUAAAAGCGUUCUCUAGUUUCCAUGAACUCCUCCUUUUCCUCCUUUUAAGCAAUGCCAAACAUGUUGGUUGGUAUUAUGUUUUUUUUCUAGUGUUUUGUAUGAUUUUGGAGAGCAGUAGCAUGACACUUUAGUUUCUUUUGGUUUAAUUUAUUACACACAGUUAAAACGUGUGCUUCGGGUCAUUAAUGUUUCAUCUACGUGUGCGAUCAGUAUUUCACUGGCUUUCUAAGUGUUCUGCAAUACAUCUGUCUAUUUAACACUCUUGUGAGAUGCUCAUCUCUGUGUUUAACUGUAAAUCAUGAGCUAAAGUGUUGUCCAGACCUGAAGAUUGUACAGCUGGAAGUCACUUCUAAUAAA